rnacentral:rRNA from 1 species
AGAGUUUGAUCCUGGCUCAGAUUGAACGCUGGCGGCAUGCUUUACACAUGCAAGUCGGACGGCAGCACAGAGAAGCUUGCUUCUUGGGUGGCGAGUGGCGAACGGGUGAGUAAUAUAUCGGAACGUACCGAGUAAUGGGGGAUAACUAAUCGAAAGAUUAGCUAAUACCGCAUAUUCUCUGAGGAGGAAAGCAGGGGACCUUCGGGCCUUGCGUUAUUCGAGCGGCCGAUAUCUGAUUAGCUAGUUGGUGGGGUAAAGGCCUACCAAGGCGACGAUCAGUAGCGGGUCUGAGAGGAUGAUCCGCCACACUGGGACUGAGACACGGCCCAGACUCCUACGGGAGGCAGCAGUGGGGAAUUUUGGACAAUGGGCGCAAGCCUGAUCCAGCCAUGCCGCGUGUCUGAAGAAGGCCUUCGGGUUGUAAAGGACUUUUGUCAGGGAAGAAAAGGCUGUUGCUAAUAUCGACAGCUGAUGACGGUACCUGAAGAAUAAGCACCGGCUAACUACGUGCCAGCAGCCGCGGUAAUACGUAGGGUGCGAGCGUUAAUCGGAAUUACUGGGCGUAAAGCGAGCGCAGACGGUUACUUAAGCAGGAUGUGAAAUCCCCGGGCUCAACCUGGGAACUGCGUUCUGAACUGGGUGACUAGAGUGUGUCAGAGGGAGGUAGAAUUCCACGUGUCGCAGUGAAAUGCGUAGAGAUGUGGAGGAAUACCGAUGGCGAAGGCAGCCUCCUGGGAUAACACUGACGUUCAUGCUCGAAAGCGUGGGUAGCAAACAGGAUUAGAUACCCUGGUAGUCCACGCCCUAA